rnacentral:rRNA from 1 species
AGAGUUUGAUCCUGGCUCAGGAUGAACGCUGGUGGCGUGCUUAACACAUGCAAGUCGAACGAAGCGAUCGAGAGGAAGUUUUCGGAUGGAAUCCGGAUUGACUGAGUGGCGGACGGGUGAGUAACGCGUGGGUAACCUGCCUCAUACAGGGGGAUAACAGUUAGAAAUGACUGCUAAUACCGCAUAAGCGCACAGGGACACAUGUUCCGGUGUGAAAAACUCCGGUGGUAUGAGAUGGACCCGCGUCUGAUUAGCUGGUUGGCGGGGUAACGGCCCACCAAGGCGACGAUCAGUAGCCGACCUGAGAGGGUGACCGGCCACAUUGGGACUGAGACACGGCCCAAACUCCUACGGGAGGCAGCAGUGGGGAAUAUUGCACAAUGGGGGAAACCCUGAUGCUGCAACGCCGCGUGAGUGAAGAAGUAUUUCGGUAUGUAAAGCUCUAUCAGCAGGGAAGAAGAUGACGGUACCUGAGUAAGAAGCCCCGGCUAACUACGUG